rnacentral:tRNA from 2 species
GGGGAAAUAGCUCAGUUGGUUAGAGUGCUGGUUUGUCACGCCAGAAGUCGCGGGUUCGAACCCCGUUUUCCCCG